CCUACGGGAGGCAGCAGUGAGGAAUAUUGGUCAAUGGGCGCGAGCCUGAACCAGCCAAGUCGCGUGAGGGAAGACGGUCCUAUGGAUUGUAAACCUCUUUUGUCGGGGAGCAAAAGACGCCACGCGUGGCGUUCCGAGAGUAACCGGAGAAAAAGCAUCGGCCAACUCCGGGCCAGCAGCCGCGGUAAUAAGGAGGAUGGGAGCGUUAACCGGGUUUAUUGGGGUUAAAGGGUGCGCAGGCGGAAGGUUAAGUCAGGGGUAAAAUUGAGAGGCUCAACCUCUUCGAGCCGUUGAAACUGGUUUUCUUGAGUGAGCGAGAAGUAUGCGGAAUGCGUGGUGUAGCGGUGAAAUGCAUAGAUAUCACGCAGAACUCCGAUUGCGAAGGCAGCAUACCGGCGCUCAACUGACGCUCAUGCACGAAAGUGUGGGUAUCGAACAGGAUUAGAUACCCUAGUAGUC
rnacentral:rRNA from 1 species